rnacentral:tRNA from 1 species
GGGGUUGUGGCUCAGUGAUAGAGUGCUUGUCUGGCAUGCAUGAGGCACUAGGUUCCAUCCUCACAACCACA